UACGGGGGGAGCAAGCGUUGUUCGGAUUUACUGGGCGUAAAGGGCGCGUAGGCGGCCACCGCAAGUCGGUUGUGAAAUCUCCGGGCUUAACCCGGAAAGGUCAAUCGAUACUGCGGGGCUAGAGUGCAGAAGGGGCAACUGGAAUUCUCGGUGUAGCGGUGAAAUGCGUAGAUAUCGAGAGGAACACCUGCGGCGAAGGCGGGUUGCUGGGCUGAUACUGACGCUGAGGCGCGAAAGCUAGGGGAGCGAACGGG
rnacentral:rRNA from 1 species